CUUCCUUCAUGAAGGAUCUGGAUAACCCUGAGUUCUACUGGAGGCUUCCGUCAGAGGCUUCCACAGUGACCAUUCUGGGGAAAAGAUAGAUUGCCUGUAAUUUUCAGACCAAGAAGGAAGACCAAGAGAACUGUGGAGACACUGGCCCUGUCAUCACAGAUCCACAGAAACAAUGCUGUCAGCCACAGGUGUGAAUUCUUGGGCAUAGGACUAUGAUCAUCCAUCAGGAGCUUUGCCAUGGACCUUCUGCAGAACACUGUGGAACCUUGUCCUCCUGCUGUGACGAGACUUGGAUUAAUUCAGUCUGCAGAAUGACUGACUGAACGAAAAAUUCCACCGUAAAUCAUGAGAAAUAGCAAGAGUCUCAUAGACCAAACACCACUCUACUACCAACUCAGGAGCUUGGAGCUUGGAGCAACUAGAAAUACUUCCACCCCAGGAAUUUCCAGGACAUCUGGUAAGUCAACAACA